rnacentral:lncRNA from 1 species
GCGCGCUCAAAGUUGCCGGCGGCUGCGAUGACCCAUGUACCAUCUUCAACACUCCUCAGUACUGCUGCCCUUCCGGCUCCAGCUGCGAGCCAACCACCUAUUCCGAGUUCUAUAAGGGCCUGUGCCCGAAUGCGUUUAGCUACCCGGAUGAUUAUGUCAACACCAGCUUCACCUGCCCCGGUGGGAGCAACUACCAGGUUACCUUCUGCCCUUGAGGCUUUGAGAGCAUGGUCAUCCAUGCAUGACGCUGUUUCGAGUAUGUGAUAGCUUUGGAAUAAGGUGUUUGUAACCAAAUUUACGAGCCAUUAAACUGGCCUGUGAUGCGUGCAGCAUUAUUGGAAUUAUAGAAAUAAUUGUUUACUGUUAGUAAAUGCACUCUCCAUCUUCAAUAUCUUAUGGAUGACUACAAAAAUAAGAAAAUGGUAUAGCAAGUUGCUCUAUUCGGCAAUACAUCUCCUCUCCAGUAUGGCGCUAGCGUAAUAUCUGGUAAAUGGACCAAUUCCAGCGAUCACUGGCCCCAUCAGUUGCACCAUCCCCUUUUGCCCUGUGGAACAAGAAAUCCUGGAGUUAAUGCCUAGAAGUUGAUCUAACAAAGUGAAUCACCACAAAAUUCUUUCACCGGUCAACUGCUGGUGUAUUAUAAGUAGUUAUACGAACUGAGAGAAACUAUUUGGAAAGUUCGGAAGAUAAUGUCUUUUAAUUUUUGAGUGAGAGACUUGGGCCGAGCGUAGUCCAAUAUACUAAAAUAAAACAGAGUGCAAACGGUGACAUUUCUGAUUUCACCACCCCCGGGCCUCUUGAUUCUUACUAAGGCAGAAUUCAUUCAUGAUAUCUUUUAAUGAUUGUCAAAACUCACAUAUGCAAGUAAUUAAUAUUUUAAUAGAUCCUUAUUGAAUUUGAUUUAACUCUAAGACAGAAUUUCCCAACAUGCUGAAUGGAACCUCGGGGCAUAAUAGCGAUGGGAUUGGGAGGUAAUAAAAAACAAUACAAUUAAAACACAACAGAAUCAACAACUCUCCCACCUCAUGUAAACCUGUUAGGAAAUAAAUAAUGCUGCAACAAUAGAGCAAUAAAAACGUUGGAUAAUUGUUUACUGUUAGUAAAUGCGCUCCUCCAUGUUCGGUAUCGUAUGGAUGACUAAUUACAGAGGGAAAAGACGAGAAUACUAUGGCAAGUUGCACUAUCUAUUCGGCAAUCCAUUUCCUAUCAGAUAUGGCACUAUCUAAACGUCUAGGAAAUGGCCCAAGUCCAACGAUCACUGACCCCAUCAAUCGCACCAUCCCCCUUUGACAUGUUGGAUAAGAAAUACAGGAGCAAAACGCAUCGAAGCUGAUCUUGCAAAUUGAAUCACUCCAAAAUACUUUCAUUAAUCUAUUGCUGUUCCAAUAUUAAUUAUUUACAUGAACUAAGAGAAACUAUUGGGAAACUCUAGAGAAGAUACAUCCAUGUAUUUUUUUUAUUUUAUGACCGAAAGACUUGGGUUGAGUCUAAUCCAAUUUAUUAAAUUAAAAUAAAGUACAAACGGUUNNNNNNNNNNNNNNNNNNNNNNNNNNNNNNNNNNNNNNNNNNNNNNNNNNNNNNNNNNNNNNNNNNNNNNNNNNNNNNNNNNNNNNNNNNNNNNNNNNNNNNNNNNNNNNNNNNNNNNNNNNNNNNNNNNNNNNAUAUAUAUAUAUAUAUAUAUAUAUAUAUAUAUAUAAACAUCUUCCGUGUGUUACCUUCUAUCAUAUAUGGAACGUCGGGUCCCUGUUGCUUACAAACAGGUGCUCUGGCCAAGCCGAAUAAUAUUGGAUUUAGUAUCCUCUGUACAGGAUUAUUAAGUUGGUCACGAGGAAAAAUUUCAUCGUGCAUCAAGAUUUUGGAUAACCUUCGCAACAAAGUAUGCUCCAUUUGACGAUUAGAUUGCACUAAUCCCAGAAGCCCAUGGAGGAAGUUUCUCAGAACUUGAAUUCUCUGUAAGUCAAGUUGCAAUAGCUCACGUACUUAAAUCAGUUGAAGUAUGAAAGUGGAAUUGGUGUUGUGUGGGAGGAUGCAGAGAAGCAUAUAAGACGGUCAGUUUGGUGUUUCCAGAUAAUUUCCACGGACGUAGCGGUGGUUUUCCACUUCUACCAGCUAUUUCUCAGCAGACCUUUCGGGACUUCCAUCGAAGGACACUGUCAAGUUAGGCAAAUGGAUAACUUUCAAGGUUGUCUGCAUCAGCAGUCCAAACACUUGGAAGACGCAAGUAGGGAUGUUCACACGGAUGAUUUUUCUUAGCUCAUAAUUACCAUGCGCCUUACACGCAUCCAAAAUUUAUUUCUACAUGGUGAAGAUAUGUACAUGUUCUGAAAAUGGAUACAAGUGUGUCAGGUUGGAUUAGGAUUUGGCUUAGUCUGGAAAUGCAUAUAUUAAUUGUUGGAGUUUUAAUUUAUGAAAAGAUUUAAAUUUUAAAAAUAAAAAAUCAAUCUUAUUUCAUAUUUAUCAGUUGCUUCAAAAGUUUUAAAACUUUUUGUAUUUUUAGUCUAGCAUCAGAUUUGUGAAAGCAAGAAUGAAAAUCCUGUAUCCUUGGUUGACAACCGUGCGCCAUACUCACUGAACCUGCAUCCUCGGUGUUUUUUUGGCCUGCACCUCUUUUGAUGCAUCAAUCUUUUAAUCUUAGCUGAUCUAGAUGUGAUGUAACACAUCCCAUCAGGUGACGAUUACAAAGGUGAUAGGAUGUACCUUGAAGAAUCUGAUAGAGGCAAGAUUUAAACUUAUCCAAUGGAUAGAAACCAUGGAGGCUCUAGUGAAGGUAAGAUCAAUCACCGUGCUUGCCUAGCAGUCCAUUGAUAAAGUAGAUAUGACUGAGCAGGUUGCUCCCUAGCAUAUAGAUUUGGCAUGACUACAUAUGAAGAUGACGUGAUGGUAUCCUCGAAAGUAGUUGCCCCCUGCCCUCGAAAUAAGAGUAGGCUACAUUGCAAGCUGGUUGAACUGUUGUUCUUCAUCCACUAGUACUUAAAAAUAUCUAACUUUGGCAAAAGUGACUGGAGUCAACAUGAUUCCAUCGACUUCUCUCUUAGCUACCAUUUGCAAAAAUCAAGUUAGUUGAGGCCCAUCUCGGGCUUGUAUAUUGGCCUAAUAUUGACCAAAGCCUUAUUGACUGUCUAUUUGAUAUGAUUUGCUCUUGCAUUAACCUGCAGGACCUCCUUGUCUCAGCCUAUAGAUUCCAAAAGCUCCAUAAGAAAAUUUUCGGGCUCUUCCCCCUGAUGAGCCUAACUCGGAUUCUUCAUAUACUACAAUACUUCCCAGUAAAAUGGACUCAUCUUCCAUGAAGAUAGGAUCGAUUUCUUCUUCUACAGGAUAUACUAGAAUGUACUGUGAUUUGGUGCAUCAGCUUCCUUCUUUUUCAGAGCGAGACUCCCCAGGAAAGGUCAUGUUUAAUUAGUUCAAAGUAAGCAUGGAAACAGAUCUUUCAAUCCAUUCCACUAUCGAAGCCGAAGAUGCUGCAUAACGAUCCAAAAGUGGUCUUAGUAUAGAGGCCGCUUUCUAUGCCGUUGCUUCCUUAACUUCCUUCCAUAGUGGUAUAGUGGCAAUUACAUGAUUAUGUCACUAGAACUAAUAUGACAAUGACUACGUAUGGCUUCACUAAUACUAGGGUUCCACUAAUACAUAGGGUUACACAAUUAAGUCGGACCCAUCUUGGAUUCUAAGAACGACAAUGAUGACUCGAUUGCACUAGGUCCUCCUGAUUUUCCAUUGCAUAAGUCUAAUGUGGCGGUUGUUGCAGCUACGGUUGUUGCUGCUGUUGGUUAGUGACCAUCUACUAUAAAUUCUAGGGCGGCGGCGGUCAGCGAUUGAACCUGCUGCAUGAGCAGACUAAACUAUUCACUGGUGGUCGACGGGUCAGGCUGUGGCUCUUGCUGGGGAGCCCUCCGAGAGCUCUAUAAAAAGCCAUUAGACUCCAUGACUGCAUCCUAUUGGGCAAUUGCAGUCGCUACCUAGGUUUUCUUAACUUCAUAGCUGUGUGUCGUCCACUUGAUCGAUCAGACCUCCAAAGAUAGAAUCAUAACCCUUCCACUAGCCCCAAUCUAUUGCCGCUAGGAACUAGUCCAACCUAGGCACUGAGUUGGUGGGGAUCGCAAAGAUCUCAGCUCGUUUGUCGUCCAGAUCAGAGAAAUCAGAUGAGAUCGUUGCAUGUCUCCACGGUAAUGUUCCAGUGGUUGUUGCACUCGAUCAAUGGUGAUCCCGAUGUCGAACACUCACGAGUCGGUAUUGUAUGAUGGAGGAACGGCUUCAUGCGAUGCUCUGACGUAGGCUCCAACCUGAAACGGUAAAAAUAAAGAAGUCCACACACUGGAGCAUAUUCGAUGGGGAUCCUUCGAUGCCCAAGUCAGACACAACUCAAAAAGAAUGGGAGGAGGCCUGAGAUGGGAGAGAGGAAGCACAAGAGAGUCGAAAGAGAGCUUGUACGGAGGGUCUUCAUAAAUGCAAUACAUAGAUAAGGAUCGAAGCCCGCCGCCAAGUAAUUUGGAGCUAUAUAUAUGCUAGUUGAUGAGGCAAUAAGUUUUUAUUGGUUAGUUUGUUUCAUCAGCAUGGAUCAAUUCGGAGAUAAAUGAUCCUAAAUAGGUUGGUUUUGAAUGAAAAUAAAUUUUUGCCUAGAUUUCUUUUCCAGGCUAUGAAAAUCCAUGAGGAUCGUAGAGUCUGUCCCUGGCCUUUCAGGGAAAGGGUCCAUCCAAAUCCUGCCGCAGAUUAGAACUCUUGCAAUACAUAAAGAUGAUGAAUUUUUAUUGAUUGGUUUGUCUUAUCAGCAUGAAUCAAUUGUAAAAUAAAUGAUUUUUAAUUGGUUGGUUUUUUGAAAAUAAAUUUUUGUCCAGAUUCUUUUUCCUAGGCUGUGAAAAUUUUUGAGGAUCUAAUAAUUGUCUGUCUUUUUUUCGUACAGUCAGUCCCCUGAAAGGUCCAUCCAAAUCCUGCCGCAUAUUCGAACCCUUGUAAUGGUUAUCCAGUUAGUGGAUGGCUUAGAAAUUUUUCAGAUGACGUCGUUCACUCGCAGGCUUGCGCGCAGUACCAUCUGAGAAUAAAAUGCCGUCGGCUUGCCCGUAACCUCUCUCUCUCUCUCUGUCUUUGUCUGCUGGCCAAAUUUUUCCAUGCUAUAAGGACCCGCUGAGAGACGUCAUGAAGAUAACGCAUGAAAUUUUUCAAACGAUGACGACAAUAGUCUCCAAUGCUAUUGGGACACCUCCGGCUCAGAGGCAUUAUGGAAGACGACGCAUGGCACUUUUCCAACAAUGACAGGCAGUUUAGUCUCCAACCGCGUAGUGAUCCCCUUCUCGGCAAGAUAGCUCAUAUGUGAAAGCAGUAGAGUAUAGCGUACUGCUCGCGCCGUGAGCUUACAGAAUAACUUGACAUUUAUAUACAUAGAAAAGCCUCCUACGUACUUUAAUGUAACAUUAAAUUCCGUUGCACUUGCGUAGACGGGAAAGCAUACAAGUUGGAUGAUCAAGGAUGAUACUUGAGAUCUGGGCGCGGAAUGUAUUUGCAGAAAUUUUCUAUUAGGAAGAGCAUUUUUCAAUGGUUGGGUUAAAAAUUCUAUUAAAUUCAUAUGUUGGGCCAGUACAAUGAACAUGAUCAAAAAUAUCCAAAAAUAGUUUUGGAGCGAGUUGGCCUAAAUUUUAUAAGAAAAAAAAACUCAGUAGGUCUAGUCUGGCCUCUAAUUCUGUAAUUUUGCUGAUUGUAAUGAUCCAACCCAUAAAUUUAAUAGGAUUUUCAGUCUACUCAUUCAGACAGGUCCUUCCAUGUGGUGCCGACUUUUGAGGUACAUGCGAGGACACCAUGGUCAAGCUCUGUUCAUGGAAAACAUCAACGUGAGUUAAUUAGCAUCAGAUACCUGUGACUUAUGAAUGGGAGGAUGCUGAGCUGUGGAGAUGGAUGGGUCAUGAAUUAUUAACUUGCUAGUUAUUUACUAAGGCUCAUAAUGGAUCACUACAUGAUUUGUUCAAGAGCAAAUUUGCAUAUAUGACAUCAAGAGUAUCACGAGCUUUCCUUUCUUUUGCGAGAACACGGUGAUUAUUACUUAAGUUUGAGUUCGAAAUGUAUACAUGACCUAACAUGGUAUUUCGUACAAGUAUGUUACAUACGGCACUCAAUAUUUUUUCUAAAUUAUUUUACAGUUUACUAAAUAUACUAUGAAAUAUACUCGUUAUGAUAUUUUUUUUAAUAAUUUGAGACUUUUCAAUACCUCAAGCAGAAACACAAAUUUAAUUAUUCUAAAGCCCAAAGAAAGGUCUGCAGUCCUCAAUAGCUUACUCCCUGGGAGGCUUCCCCUGCUUUGGUUCUGUUCUAUAGAUAUUAACAAAAAUAAAAUAUAAAGAUAUAGAUUUUGUAUUUUAAAUAUAAAGUGUGGAAUAAGAGAAUAUUUCUUACCAAAUAUGUUACACACAGAAAUAGUUGCAGUAUAUGUAACAAGAAAUAGUGGUCAAAUUUUAAUAAGUUAGAAAGUGAAUUGAGCAUACAAAAAAUUUUAGACUCAUGAAUUAGGUAUAGGUAAAAAAAAAAAAAAUCAAGAUUCAGAUUUUAAGGUGUACCUCAAGAUUGUGUAUAGUGUUUUUUUCUUUUUGGGCUAAAAUCUCUUAUCAUAUAUAUAUAUAUAUAUAUAUAUAUAUAUAUAUAUAUAUAUAUAUAUAUAUAUAUAUANNNNNNNNNNNNNNNNNNNNNNNNNNNNNNNNNNUUAUGGAGGUUAUUAAUAUCUAAGAAUCAUGCUUAUCUAAGAGUUUGAUUUUAUUCAAAAUCAUUUAUUAUUGUUUUUAUGAUCGACAUUAUAUCAUAAAGAAUAAUUCAACUAGCAACAUUCCAAAAAUUGUUCCUAUGACAUUUCAAACUUUCACUUUUUCAUAUAUUUUAAACUUUUAAAAUAUUUACUUAUGCAAUUAUGGUAAAGAAAAUGUAUGUCAUAUCCAUUUCCUCAAAAAAGGUAUAAUGUAAAGUGUGAAGCCGACCCUCUGUAAAUGGCAUUUAAGUUACUACAUAAAAUAAAAGCACAAAAAGUUUUAUAUGAAUGAACUAAGAAAUAUUCAAUAAUUUGAGAAGUACAUUAUAUUAUAUAAAAAUCAUUCAAAUAAUAAAGCAAAGAUACCAUGCAUGGAAAUCUGAUUUAUGAAAACAAAUAAAGUUAGUAGUAAAGAAUAUAUAAUUAGAUACUAAAAAUAUCCGUAGUAUGUUGGGUCAAUUAUUUUAUGAUUUUCUAGAUUUUUUUGAAUUUUUAUAAGCAGCAUUUUUUCAUAAUUUUUUAUUUAUAAUAUCCACAAGAAAGUCCAAUCAGUUUUAACCACUGAAACAAAAACAGAGCGGGAAAGCUUAAAUGGAAUUUUUGUUGAUGAUUUAGUUAAACAAUUUUAGUUGAUCCAUUGAUAUAACAUAUUUGGAUAACUUUAAUAUAUUUAGAUAAUUUUUACAUAUUUAUAUGAUUUAUAAUCCAUCUUUUUUUUUGAAUUUAGCAUGUAAAAAAUUUGAAUUUUGUGCAUACAAAUUUGAAUUAUGUGGCUUAUUUGAAUUUGAUUUAAUAUGCUUCGUUUAUUUUUUUGUGCAUAUAUGCGAUUUUUUAUACAAAUUUUUCUUUGUAACAUACAUAACUUCACAAAAUGUCACGCUUUUUUUUUGUAGAAAAUUUCUUUUUUGACAUGACUUCCAAAAAUGUCUCUAUUUUUUUUGAAUUGCGGAGAGGGGUUGUGUUUUUUCUUUCUUUUCCAUUUAAUUGGUAUAGAGAUAACCUUAUAACGAGGCAUUAGAAUCCUCUGGGUAGGUUGUAGAAAAUUCUUAACUGCAACUAAGCCAUGUGUCAGAUUUAUAUUUGUCGUUUGAUCAACUAUAUCGAGUGCAUCUAGAAGAUCAAGUAAGUUGGUUUCGAAUGAAGAUAAACUUGGCUCUUCUUGACUUUAUCCUUAGGUUGGCAAUCGUCCACUCUAAGUUGAACAGGUUUGAAACCAUCCUAAUCCUUUCUUUUUUAUUUUUCUUUUUCUUUCUUUUUCUUUUUCUUUUCUUAGCAAAAGGGAAGAGUGGAGUGAGGAGAACCUCACCCGCAUAGCAACCCCCAUUGGGUCCUCUCCCUGCUCGAGAAUAUUUAAUACGGGUAGAACCUUUUUUACUCAUACCCUCCCCACCCGUGGUAGAGUCCCACCAGCAUGGCAGCCCUGCCCUCGUGUGAGUAGUGACACCAACACCACCUAAGUAAACGGUAGAUCAGAUAGCGACUCUACCGGACAAAUCAAGCAGGGAGCAUCCGGUCCUCAUAUUUAAUCGAUGUCCGCACAUUUCGAACUUGAGCCAUUCCGGUGGAAUCAAAAUGCCAUUCCCACAGUGCUACCAUCUCGGUGGUGCCUUCCUAAUCAUCUGGUGGACUAGAAGUGUUGUCCUGAUGAUCCUAAUAACUAGUGCAUGACUUUAAUUUUAUCAUAGUCUUGCAUACUUGCUUUGGAAGGUAAUGCAUGGGAGAUUUUUCAACAAUGACGACAUUUGAAUAAUCUCCGGCAACGUUUUGUUCCCGUCGCCUGCAUCCCAAGACUCCUUCAACAGAGUCACGAGAAAAUUGGGAGGGCAUGCGAGACUUAUCCCUGGAAGACGUUUCCACACUUGACCUGCUUUUUGCCCGAAAGAACUUAACGAAGUCAUCAUUAAAAAAGAUGACUACAUGGCAGGGGAAUAGAAAAACUCGUUCAUUCAUAAAUGCAGCAUUGCUAAAUUCAGUUGUACCUACCGACAAGCACAAGCUCGCGAACUAAGGUUUUUUUUUUUUUUUUUUUGUUCCUGAUGAUCCUAACCAGCAUGGUUAGCCACGUAAGUGGCCACCCAAUCUGCAGCUCCGUCAGCUUCUCUAAACACAUGCUUCACCUGGAUAUUCCUUUCGUCCCUCAUCAUCAUUCAGAUAUCGCGAAGCAAAGAAUGGUCACCAGCAGCGACCCUCAGACCUCUCUGGAUCUAGGUGAUGACCGUAGCCGAGUCACCCUUCAAGAUGACCGACCCAACUGAGAGCACACACUGAGCAUAUCGAAGGCCCGCCCAGGCUGCCCUUAGCUCUGCACCAGAAAUCGUGCAGUCAAAUAAUUGACAGCCUCCCACUGCCACGACCCUGAAGUUCGGAUCCCUAAUGAUGAAAUCCGCUCCACCAUUAGCGCCUCCAUCCAGCACCGACCCAUAAAAAUUGACCUUGAGGAAACUACGGGGUAGGGGCUUCCAGGUGAAAAACAUCAUACGAGGAGCUGCAGAGGCAGAAUGGGAACCCCAGAUAUCCCAAGCUGUCCAAGGUCCUUCUAAGGAGGAAGCAUGACUAAUCUUUGCCGCCUGCGCCGAGGCACUCUUUGCCACAAGCCUUGGCGACUUGCUGUGCUCACCAAAGGUUUGAGCAUUUCUUGCCAGCCAUACCUGGUAUGCUAUGCAAGUCGUCCUAACCGCCUCCUGGCGUGUCAGUGGGUUACCCGACCACCUACGAAUGGUCCAUAAGAACUGAUCCCCCUUAGACUAACUCUUCCGCAGCAGCACCGCUGCACUCCACGCCGCCCUAGCUCAUGUGCACUGAAACACUACGUGGUCCACCGACUCAUCGGCACCGCAUGCCCCACACUCAGGGGGUAGCCUCAGUCCCCGUCCGCUGAGUACUGCUCUCGUCGGAAGCCGAUCCCAGACGACAUUCCAUAAGAACAGUAUAACCCUCGAGUGGAGACCUAGGCGUCAGACCCAGGCACACUCCGGACCUAGCUCAUGAUCAGGCCGGAGCACUCGGAAGAGCUCUCCCACCCUAAUGCAGGUACUACACAACGUGCUCCACACCUGAGUAUCAGGACCACAUACCUCGGAAUCGGAAGAGACCGGACCCUCUCAGUUAGGUGUGUCCCAAAUAUUUGACCCAACCUAGCCUCAUCCAUAGCAGCCUUGCCAAGGUCAAGGAGGUCGCAAACCUGCAGUCCUCCACUACCUCAAUAUCAACCGUAGUCAACCAGAGUCUCCAAGGGAGGGCAACCACCCAUGGGUCGCCAACCACAUCGAUACUCCGCCCAUCACCUGUCAACCAUAUAGGAUUCUCCAUAACUGUUGGUAGAAAUCUUGCGAUCUCUCGCCACAUGAAUGGGCAACGAUUUGUACUGUGGAUCACCCCUACAUUACCCGUUCGGCCAUAUCUGGCAGCGAUGGUCUGACUCCAAAACCCCUGCAGCUCUAGCGUGAAUUGAGCUGCAUGUCGGGCAAACAACGGCUCGCGCCUCUCCAAAAGAGACAGCACACCAAGGCUUUCCUUACUCAACGGUAGGCAGAUACUCUCCCAUGCCACUAAAUGCACCCCAUGACCCCCUCCAUACAACCCCCAUAGGAAGCUUCGAAGUAGUCUCUCGAUCCUCAUCAGCACCAUUUUCGAAACCACCGUGUUUGCCAUUAGGUAGACAAGCAUGGAACCUAGCACUGAUCUAAUCAGCGUCAAUCUACCCAUCAUAGAAAGCGAAGACACCCUCCAGCACUCCAGUCUACUCUGAAUCUUCUGCACCAGACCGGUGCACUCGGCUACCCGCAGCCUCCUACCCGUAAUGGAUACUCCCAGGUAGCUCCAGGUCCCAUCCUAUACCAGCAUCUUCAGUAUUCCCCGAAUCUUCUGUCUGACCCUAUACUCCAUGCUAGAGCUGAAGGAGAUGGUUGACUUCUGGAGGUUUACCUUCUGCCCUGACACUGCGUAGUACUUCGCUAAUAUUCUUCUAAGCACUCGUGCAUCCGCUGCCCGCGCAUUGACUAGGAGAAGACAAUUAUCUGCGAACAAUAAGUAUGAUAUAGGUCAAGACCCUGGGUCUAACUGGGUCGGGUCACGAGUCGACCCAACCCAUUUGUAGCCUUAUUUCUACUUAAUAGGUACCUAAAAAUAGAGAUAGAUAUUGAAAUAUUUAAUCAAAAAAAAUGUAUAUAAAAAUAAUAGAAAUAAUGAAAGAAAAAUUCUAACUUAUUGCUAAUGUAUCUUCUUAAGUUUGAAGACUCCAAAUAAAAUUCUUACUAUUUGGACAGUUUUUUUUAAAAUUUUUUUUUCAUGCAGUCUUCAUAUUUUCCUUUUUUUUGUUUGGUUUUCUCUACAAAUUUCUUUCAAUUUUUACAAAAUUUUGGUGAAAGCACUAACCCACUCUCUUUUUUCCGUUUAAUAGGUACGGAGACAUAGAGAUUAUUAUUUUAUCUUAAUUAUUAAAUUAAUAGCUUUCUACAUACACAAAAUAAAAUAAAUUAACUUUUAAUGUUAUCGGGGUUGUUGGAAUCAGCAGUCCAAACACUUGGAACACGCAAUUAGGGAUGUUGACACGGAUGAUUUUUCAUUAGCUCAUAGCCACUGAUCGAAUCAUGUACCUGGGACUUCCACCAAAGGACACGGUCAAGAAAGACAAAAACGCCUCCUCCUCAGCCUACCCUCCCCCAUCGCCCUAUAAAUACUCUUACUGCCCAUCCCGCAACCCCACACAAUCCUCAACCAGAGAGCCAUCUUCCUGGGUAUCAAAAUGGCCUCCUCGACCUCCCUCACUCUCCUCUUCUUCCCCUUCCUCCUCCUCACCCUCUCCCACGCCGCCACCUUCAACGUCGUCAACCAAUGUUCCUACACCGUGUGGGCUGCAUGGGCAGCCACCGGCAACGUCGGCGGCGGCCAGCAGCUCGACCAAGGCCAGACCUGGACGGUCACCGUCAACGCCGGCACCACCGGUGGCCGCAUCUGGGCCCGUACUGGCUGCUCCUUCGAUGCCAACGGCAACGGGAACUGCCAGAGCGGCGACUGCGGCAAGCUCGCGCGCCUGCACCUCCUACGGCUCCGCACCCAACACCCUCGCGGAAUUCGCCCUAAACCAGUUCCAGAACCUCGACUUCAACGACAUCUCCCUCGUUCAGGGCUUCAACGUGCCCAUGGACUUCCGCUCCACCUCGUCGGACUGCAGCCAAGAUAUCCAAUGCACCGCCGACGUCGUUGGGCAGUGCCCCAGCGAGCUUAAAGUGCCCGGCGGCUGUGAUGACCCAUGCACCAUCUUCAACGCUCCUCAGUACUGCCCCCCUAACGGCUCCAGCUGCGAGCCAACCACCUAUUCCGAGUUCUUUAAGAGGCUGUGCCCGAAUGCGUUUAGCUACCCAGAUGAUUAUGUGAACACCAGCUUCACCUGCCCCGGUGGGAGCAACUACCAGGUUACCUUCUGCCCUUGAGGCUUUGAGAGCAUGGUGAUCCAUGCAUGACGCUGUUUCGAGUAUGUGAUAGCUUUGGAAUAAGGUGUUUGUAACCAAAUUUACGAGCCAUUAAACUGGCCUGUGAUGCAUGCAGCAUUAUUGGAAUUAUAGAAAUAAUUGUUCACUGUUAGUAAAUGCACUUCUCCAUCUUCAAUAUCUUAUGGAUGACUACAAAAAUAAGAAAAUGGUAGAGCAAGUUGCUCUAUUCGGCAAUACAUUUUCUCUCCAGUAUGGCACUAGCGUAAUAUCUGGUAAAUGGACCCACUCCAGCGAUCACUGACCCCAUCAAUUGCACCAUCCCCUUUUGACCUGUGGAACAAGAAAUCCUGGAGUUAACGCCUAGAAGUUGAUCUAACAAAGUGAAUCACAACAAAAUUCUUUCACUCGUCAACUGCUGUUGUAUUAUAAGUAUUUAUACGAACAGAGAGAAACCAUUUGGAAAGUCCGGAAGAUGAUGUUUUUUAAUUUUUGAGUGAGAGGCUUGGGCCGAGCGUAGUCCAAUAUACUAAAAUAAAACAGAGUGCAAACGGUGACAUUUCACCACCCCCAGGCACCUUGAUUAAUUCUUACUAAGGCAGAAUUCAUUCAUUAUAUCUUUUAAUGAUUGUCAAAACUCAUAUAUGCAAGUAAUUAAUAUUUUAAUAGAUCCUUAUUGAAUUUGAUUUAACUAUAAAACAGAAUCUCCCAACAUGCUGAAUGGAACCUCGGGGCAUAAUAGCGAUGGGAUUGGGAGGUAAUAAAAAACAAUACAAUUAAAACACAACAGAAUCAACAACUCUCCCACCUCGUGCAAACAUGUUAGGAAAUAAAUAACUAAAGCCAAUCCAUCUAAUAUAUAUAUCAUAGAUAUUCACAAAUACCUAGCUGAUCAAAUUAUCAAAAACAUAAAAGCAACACUAAAUUUUACGUCGAAAAUUAAACCUCCCAAUAUGGAGAGUAAAAACAACGGGACCGUAGUCCACCCAAAAACUUUCACUAUCAACCAAGAAUGGAUAUUACAAUCUAUUCUCUCUAGCUAAAACUAGAGACAUAUAUCACCACAUAAUUUCAAGAACAAUAUUCUUGGCAAACAUCAACAAUAAGAAAGAGAAAAAAUGAGAAGAUCUCACAUGAACAGCAGUCAUGUUUUUGCAGAAUCUUAUUAUGCUGGAAGAUUGAAAAUAGCAAUCACACCGUAUAAAUUGAAGAACCACGUGUUUGAGCCUACUGUCAAAAUUUUAACUCAAUCGGACCUCGGAUUGCCUUCCAAUCGUCGUUUGAUCAAAACUGCACAUAGUGAACUAAUUCUACUCCUCCGCCGCUGCCUUCUUUUUUUUACGAAGACUCCUCACGCUGCCUGGCUUCUCCACAUAAAAACUGUCCUAAUGGGCCCCACAUUUUGGGCCAAAAGUUAUUCCAACUAAUAUGGGCUAAAAAUAAUUAAUUGAGCCCACAUUUGUUGAGCUAAGUCUUCUCCAACAUAAGAGGGACAACCCAACAAAUCUCCCCCUCCCGACUAUGUGGAGGGAUUCACCAUCCCAGCGAUCAAUCGACAUGUCAGUCCUAUGUCUAUUGUUGACUUGAAUUAGCAUACAAUAAACAAUACCUAAGUCCACAAAAAAGAUUAUUUUUUGCUUGUUAUAUAUAAAUUGUUUAAUAUCACAGUUGAUUUUGGAAGCUAACCAUCUUUUCUUGGAAGGUGACUCAGCGACAGUGAUUGGUAGGAUAAAUUGAGAUAGCCGACAUUUGGAUGGAUUAUGCAUCUUCACACAACUUAACGGGCCUACCUGGGACUUCUAACAAAGGACACGGUCAACUUAAGCAAAUGGAAAACGUUCUGGGUUGUUGGAAUCACCAGUCCAAACACGCAAGUAGGGAUGUUGAAACGAAUGAUUUUUUAUUAGCUCAUAACCACUGAUCGAAUCAUGUGCCUUACAUUUGUCCAUCACUUAUUGCCUCAUGAUGAAGAUAUGUACACGUACUGCAAAUGGCUACAGGAGUGUCAGUGCCAGCCGCCUGUGGUUCCCACCUAAAGUCAAGUCCAUCGUAUCUUUUCGUUUUCUCGGUAGACAAUUCCAUCCUAUCUUUGAACAUCGCCAACCACGCUGGCUACGUUGGACAAAGAAAACAAAAAAACAAAACGCUUCCUCCUCAGCCUACCCUCCCCCACCGCCCUAUAAAUACUCUUACUGCCCAUCCCACAACCCCACACAAUCCUCAACCAGAGAGCCAUCUUCCUGGGUAUCAAAAUGGCCUCUUCGACCUCCCUUACUCUCUUCUUCUUCCCUUUCCUCCUCCUCACCCUCUCCCACGCCGCCACCUUCGACGUCGUCAACCAAUGUUCCUACACCGUGUGGGCUGCAUGGGCAGACACCGGCAACAACGGCGGCGGCCAGAAGCUCGGCAAGGGCCAGACCUGGACGGUCACCGUCAAUCCCGGCACCCCCCGUGCCCGCAUCUGGGCCCGUACCGGCUGCUCCUUCGAUGCCAACGGCAACGGGAAGUGCCAGACCGGCGACUGCGGCAAGCUCGCCUGCACCUCCUACGGCUCCCCGCCCAACACCCUCGCGGAAUUCGCCCUCAACCAGAACUCCCCACCUUACUACACCAACCGCGACUUCAACGACAUCUCCCUCGUUCAGGGUUUCAACGUGCCCAUGGACUUCCGCUCCACCUCGUCGAGCUGCAGCAUGGAUAUCCAAUGCACCGCCGACGUCGUUGGGAAGUGCCCCAGCAAGCUCAAAGUAACCGGCGGCUGCGAUGACCCAUGCACCAUCUUCAAGACUGCUCAGUACUGCUGCCCGUCCGGCUCAAGCUGCGAUCCAACUACCUAUUCCAAGUUCUUUAAGAGCCUGUGCCCGAAUGCGUAUAGCUACCCGGAUGAUUAUAACAACACCCAAUUCUCCUGCCCCGGUGGGACCAACUAUAAGGUCACCUUCUGCCCUUGAGGCUUU